GAGCGAACAGGAUUAGAUACCCUGGUAGUCCACGCCGUAAACGGUGGGUGCUAGUUGUGGGCCACAUUCCACGUGGUCCGUGACGAAGUUAACACAUUAAGCACCCCGCCUGGGGAGUACGGUCGCAAGACUAAAACUCAAAGGAAUUGACGGGGGCCCGCACAAGCGGCGGAGCAUGCGGAUUAAUUCGAUGCAACGCGAAGAACCUUACCAAGGCUUGACAUAUAGAGGAAACGUGCAGAAAUGUACGCCCCGCAAGGUCUCUAUACAGGUGGUGCAUGGUUGUCGUCAGCUCGUGUCGUGAGAUGUUGGGUUAAGUCCCGCAACGAGCGCAACCCUCGUCCUAUGUUGCCAGCACGUAAUGGUGGGAACUCAUGGGAGACUGCCGGGGUCAACUCGGAGGAAGGUGGGGAUGACGUCAAAUCAUCAUGCCCCUUAUGUCUUGGGCUUCACGCAUGCUACAAUGGCCAGUACAAAGGGCUGCAAUACCGUAAGGUGGAGCGAAUCCCAAAAAGCUGGUCUCAGUUCGGAUUGAGGUCUGCAACUCGACCUCAUGAAGUCGGAGUCGCUAGUAAUCGCAGAUCAGCAACGCUGCGGUGAAUACGUCCCCGGGGCCUGUACACACCGCCCGUCAAGUCACGAAAGUCG
rnacentral:rRNA from 1 species